UCCGUUGGUGAACCAGCGGAGGGAUCAUUACUGAGUUUACGCUCUAUAACCCUUUGUGAACAUACCUAUAACUGUUGCUUCGGCGGGUAGGGUCUCCGCGACCCUCCCGGCCUCCCGCCCCCGGGCGGGUCGGCGCCCGCCGGAGGAUAACCAAACUCUGAUUUAACGACGUUUCUUCUGAGUGGUACAAGCAAAUAAUCAAAACUUUUAACAACGGAUCUCUUGGUUCUGGCAUCGAUGAAGAACGCAGCGAAAUGCGAUAAGUAAUGUGAAUUGCAGAAUUCAGUGAAUCAUCGAAUCUUUGAACGCACAUUGCGCCCGCCAGCAUUCUGGCGGGCAUGCCUGUUCGAGCGUCAUUUCAACCCUCAAGCUCUGCUUGGUGUUGGGGCCCUACAGCUGAUGUAGGCCCUCAAAGGUAGUGGCGGACCCUCCCGGAGCCUCCUUUGCGUAGUAACUUUACGUCUCGCGCUGGGAUCCGGAGGGACUCCUGCCGUAAAACCCCCCAAUUUUCCAAAGGUUGACCUCGGAUCAGGUAGGAAUACCCGCUGAACUUA
rnacentral:rRNA from 1 species